rnacentral:lncRNA from 1 species
CCCGACGAUUUCGACGACGAGCUCAGUAGGAAGCACGGCGUCAAGCCCUGAGUUCCUCUUCUUCGCCGCCAUACUCCGCGUCUUCACCAUUGCACUAGUACCUAUUGGACACCUGAGGAGCGUGAAAUACGUAAGCUUGUAUUAGUACAAGCCCAUGCCGAUGCAGCCAAUGUCGGAGACAAGAUUUAGUGAAGAACAGGCCAAUUUACUCUACAAAAGUUGAAUUGAAGAAAUUAAGAAGAAAACCCCAGGCCAAAUUUGAAUUCCUUCAUAAUUUAGCAAAGAGAAAAAAAAAUCACCCUGCGGGCUUCUAGUCCUAGUCUGACGAGGAGACGACCAAAUCCAAAUUAAUCCUAACAAGAUAAAGAUUACGGAAAUCACUCUGUUUUCUUAGAGGGAAAGCGUCCAACUUUAUUCCAUAAUUAAACUCUAGGGUCUAUCUAGGCCUCACUGAACUAAGAAUCAGGAAAUCUCGGUAGACCAAUGCUAACAAUUGGAUCAUGCAUCAUGUUUCGUGCUCCACACCUAUCCCUAGCGACUAUUUUGAAAGCCGUGGCUGUUGAAUAUCGGGCCUUACAUGGGUGUGUGUUUUUAGAAAUCCCAGUCCAGAUGAUUUGUGUAUUGUCUUGGUCCAGGUAAAGGUAUUUAUGUAGUUUUAUACUAGGCCAAUUGAGAUGGUACGAUGAGCCAUUUACAAGAAUUUCAAAAUGACACAAGUGAUGUCAACGUAGCUGGUCAUAUCAACUUAUCCCAAUUAAUCAAAGCUUAUGUGACGAAACUUUCUGAUAUCUUAAAAACAAAACUACAGAGGAAUUAGUGACAUCAAAACUUCUGUCAAAAACUAACCCAAAAUUUCUCUAAAAAAAUUAACCAAAAAACUCAAGUACGGGUUGAUACAUCCAGGUACAAUUGCCGUGGAUUAGAAUUAAUCAAAUCUCAUACUAACCCUUUGAAAGUAAUUGCACCACUGGUCCAACAAGUUGAGAGGUGGGAACAUUUUAGUCCAUCUUAUUGUA